UCGGUGAGCACAAAAGAGACUUGGCUGAAUGAUCUAGCUGAAGAAUGCCAACGGAAUGAAAAUGACUUUAACCAAAGAGUGAAACACAGGUACUAUUCCAGAUGCCAGAGAGCCAAGCGUCCCUGCUCUCAGGAGCUUACUCCUACUGGAGAGAGACAGAAAAACAGGUAAGGAAAAUCAUACCAGUAAUGAUACAUGCCACACAGUGAAUCUAAGUGGGUUGAUAUUAUAGAGAAUUAGGGAGAAUCACUUCUAUAUUAAACAGGGAAGGUGAAAUUUCAGUUGAGAUCUGAAUGACAAGAAGCCAAACAAGUGAGAUCUGGGGUAAGAACUUUCCAGACUCAAGAACAGGGAGGGCAAAGGCCCUGAAGAAGAUGUAAGCCUGGUAUAUGAAGAAGAAAAGAAGCCAGUAUUGCAGGAAUGGAAGAGCAUGGAGUAAGAUGUAAGUAAAGAAGCUGGCAAGAUAGACAUGAUGUAAU